AGGAAACGCUGCCUCCUCUCACUCCAUCAUUUCUUUCACGCAAACACCACACUCACUGUAACUUCCUUGUUCACGAUUCCAUUGUUCAUGUGGAGGCACGACGGAGGGCGACGGACGCGGUCUUUUCUGGUGCGAUCUUUCCCUCACUCCUGAGUCUUCUCUCUCCUUUUUCUGAUACGGUCUUUUCUGGCACGGUCUCUCUACAGUCUUCACUCUCCCUUUCAUGGUAUUGUCCGAGGCGGUUUCACUUCUCUCACCAUUUUUUGACGAGGUCACCACUGUUUCUGCAUAUUUCGGUGAGGGUUAAGGUUCAUCGUGCCUUACUCAUCGCAGAUGUAGGGUUUAUCGCGCCUCACUCAUUGUGGUUUGUUAUCCACUCAUCGGUUUUAAUUCUCAAUCUAUAUCUUGGAAGGGAUACUUAAGGCUGUUAUUAAGCUUCAUCAUCGCCAAUGGUUUGCACAAAAUUACUUGCAGGUGCUCUGGUUCAAGUCUAUACAGAUGGAACUAUUUUAGUUACCCAUGGGGGUGUCGAAAUGGGGCAAGGUUUGCAUACCAAAGUUGCCCAAAUUGCUGCUUCAGCUUUUCAUAUCCCUCUUUGUUCAAUGAAAGAAGUUCUAAUCAAUCUAUUUAAAGUGUUCAUACCCAAUCAAGAUCACACAAGUAGUCCAAUUAAAACUUAUAUGGGAUAGCAAAUGGAUAUUUAUUAUUUACUUAAAUGGCUAGUAUACCUCACAGUCUCACACCUGAUAAAAUGACCUAAAAAAUGAUACUUUCAACUUCAAAAAAGAUAGCUCAGCUUCCUUCAUGUAUAUGCAUAUCUUCUCUCUAUACAAUUUAACAUUUCUCAUCUCAAUGAACAUGCAGAACACGGUUUAGCUUCUA